UGUCAUGUUAACACGUGCCCUUACGGUACGAAGUGCGCAUGCUCAUAUUUGUAUCUGCCCCUAUAUAUGCAGCCCCUUGUGAGAUAAUAAAAACACUUUGUUCCCUACCUCCCGACCGUUCACAUGGUGUCAGAAGUGGGGCGGCGACGCAUUUCGCAAGCCGCGUUCACCGCUGUUUUUCCCCGCCCUCUCGUCCAGCUGCACCCCUAGUACACUCCAGAGAAAGAAGUAUGGCGUCAACGGUUCUACCACCGCCAAAGCCACUGGAAAGUACGGGUGACGCUUACCAGAACUGGAUCAUCUGGAAAACGCCCUGCUGGAGUGGCGAAACAUGCCAAGGGACAAGCAACUCAAGUCGCCCGCUCAAAGGUUGAUGGGUCGCCAAACAAGGACGCAGUUGCCGGUUCUUCCCCAGCACCUCGAACCGUAGACUGUGCCACCAGAAGCCGUUCGCAAUCGCCUCCAGGAAAUAAGAGAAAUGCAGUGGAUCUUCUACAACCGGACGGCCAAGCGUCUACCCCAUCUUCGCAGUGGGUCUCCAGUAUCAGUGUACGACACCAUACGCAGAACCUGGUCGCCAGCUGGGGUUGUAGGCCCUGCAGGCACACCUCGGUCGUACUAACCUACUUACAGACAGCGGACAAGUGCUGCGGCGCACCAGGGAGCAUCUCAGUUCCAAAGAAAUGCAACCUACGUCGAACCCUGAAGCUACAGUUUCUGCGGAGUCAGUAUCCCAGCCUGACCAGAUGGCGGAGCUACAACCUGAAGACACCCUUCGUAGAAGUAACCAUCUGCGUAGACCGCCACAACGUUUCCCCCUGCCAGAGAGACCGCAGCAUUAGGUCCCUGACAUGCGAAUUUGUAAAUUUUUUGUUCUUAUUUUUGUUUAUUUCGUACCCUUACGGUACGAAGUGCGCAUGCUCAUAUCUGUAUCUGUCCCUAUAUAUGCAGCCCCUAGUCAGAUAAUAAAAACACUUUGUUCCCUGC